rnacentral:rRNA from 1 species
UCCGGGGGGCAGCUACCAUGCAGUCGAGCGAGAACUUCGGUUCUAGCGGCGGACGGGUUAGUAACGCGUGGGAACGUGCCCUUCACUACGGAAUAGUCCCGGGAAACUGGGUUUAAUACCGUAUACGCCCUUCGGGGGAAAGAAUUUCGGUGAAGGAUCGGCCCGCGUUAGAUUAGAUAGUUGGUGGGGUAACGGCCUACCAAGUCUACGAUCUAUAGCUGGUUUUAGAGGAUGAUCAGCAACACUGGGACUGAGACACGGCCCAGACUCCUACGGGAGGCAGCAGUGGGGAAUCUUAGACAAUGGGCGCAAGCCUGAUCUAGCCAUGCCGCGUGAGUGAUGAAGGCCUUAGGGUCGUAAAGCUCUUUCGCCAGGGAUGAUAAUGACAGUACCUGGUAAAGAAACCCCGGCUAACUCCGUGCCAGCAGCCGCGGUAAUACGGAGGGGGUUAGCGUUGUUCGGAAUUACUGGGCGUAAAGCGCGCGUAGGCGGAUUGGAAAGUUGGGGGUGAAAUCCCAGGGCUCAACCCUGGAACUGCCUCCAAAACUAUCAGUCUAGAGUUCGAGAGAGGUGAGUGGAACUCCGAGUGUAGAGGUGAAAUUCGUAGAUAUUCGGAAGAACACCAGUGGCGAAGGCGGCUCACUGGCUCGAUACUGACGCUGAGGUGCGAAAGUGUGGGGAGCAAACAGGAUUAGAUACCCUGGUAGUCC